AGGCUAGAGCUACUCACAUAUGCCUUGAUUGUGGAUUCAUAUACUUUCUACAGAAACCUUUUGAUGAGCAGCCGGAUUCAUACACAUGCCCUCAAUGUAGAGCCCCAAAGAAGAGGUUUGCAGAGUAUGAUGUGAGCACUGGGAAAGUAGUAGGUGGAGGGUUGCCUCCAAUUGGGGUCAUCAUUGGACUGCUGGCUGGUAUUGGAGGAGUUGGAGCGCUGCUUGUUUAUGGUCUUCAAUGAUUCUUUUCUCUCUAUAUAUAUUGCAUUCAGAUAAUGGAUCAUAUAUAGUUCUUCUCCUCAAUUAAUCAUGACCCUACAUACUUAACAGGCCUAAGGCGAAUUGGAUCUUCACUAUUCAGUAUCGCAAAGUUCCACUCUUGGGAGCUUUACUUA